GCAGUCGUGGCCCAGUGGUUAAGGCGAUGGACUAGAAAGCAUUGGGGUCUCCCCGCACAGAUUCGAAUUAUGUCGACUGCG
rnacentral:tRNA from 1 species